rnacentral:rRNA from 1 species
GACGAACGCUGGCGGCGUGCCUAAUACAUGCAAGUAGAACGCACAGUUUAUACCGUAGCUUGCUACACCAUAGACUGUGAGUUGCGAACGGGUGAGUAACGCGUAGGUAACCUGCCUGGUAGCGGGGGAUAACUAUUGGAAACGAUAGCUAAUACCGCAUAAUAUUGAUUAUUGCAUGAUAAUUAAUUGAAAGGUGCAAUUGCACCACUACCAGAUGGACCUGCGUUGUAUUAGCUAGUAGGUGAGGUAACGGCACACCUAGGCGACGAUACAUAGCCGACCUCGGAGGGUGAUCGGCCAAAAUGGGACUGGGACACGGCCCAGACCCCUACGAGAGGCAGCAGUAGGGGAUCUUCGGCAAUGGACGAAAGUCUGACCGAGCAACGCCGCGUGAGUGAAGAAGGUUUUCGGAUCGUAAAGCUCUGUUGUAAGAGAAGAACGGGUGUGAGAGUGGAAAGUUCACACUGUGACGGUACCUUACCAGAAAGGGACGGCUAACUACGUG